rnacentral:lncRNA from 1 species
AAAGAACUCAACAUAGAGCCCGCUGUAAGUAUGAGACCUUGUUGGGAGGAAUUAUUCAUAUACAUGUUUUUGUUGUAGAUUCCUUUUUGUGCUUCUAUGAGAUUUUAGGAAGACAAUUUCUCAUCUUUUUAUAAAGUCCUUUUUCUUACCUGAAGAAUUAAACAUGUUUGUUACAGAAAACAUGCAAAUAACAAAGGACAGAAAAGACUCUGAGUUAUCAAAUCAUACCUGCUUUUUGUAAUUUUUUCCAUUUAUAUAUCAUAAGCCACUUUGCAUUCUAACAGAUGCUUUGUCCUAUAUGCCA